AUGAACGCUGGCGGCGUGCAUAACACAUUCAAGUCGAACGGAACAAUGGGGGCUUGCUUCCAUUGUUUAGUGGCGGACGGGUGAGUAACGCGUGAGCAACCUGCCUGUGCGAGGGGGAUAACGACUGGAAACGGUCGCUAAUACCGCAUGACAUAUACGGUUCGCAUGGACUGUAUAUCAAAGAAAUAUCGCGCACAGAUGGGCUCGCGUCUGAUUAGAUAGUUGGUGAGGUAACGGCUCACCAAGUCUGCGAUCAGUAGCCGGACUGAGAGGUUGACCGGCCACAUUGGAACUGAGAAACGGUCCAGACUCCUACGGGAGGCAGCAGUGGGGAAUAUUGGGCAAUGGGCGAAAGCCUGACCCAGCGACGCCGCGUGAGGGAAGAAGGUCUUCGGAUUGUAAACCUUAGUCAACAGGGAAGAAGAAAGUGACGGUACCUGUGGAGGAAGCCACGGCUAACUACGUGCCAGCAGCCGCGGUAAUACGUAGGUGGCGAGCGUUAUCCGGAUUUACUGGGUGUAAAGGGUGUGUAGGCGGGAAUGCAAGUCAGAUGUGAAAAUUACGGGCUCAACCCGUAACCUGCAUUUGAAACUGCAAUUCUUGAGUAUGGGAGAGGUAAGCGGAAUUCCUGGUGUAGCGGUAAAAUGCGUAGAUAUCAGGAGGAACACCGGUGGCGAAGGCGGCUUACUGGACCACAACUGACGCUGAGACACGAAAGCGUGGGGAGCAAACAGGAUUAGAUACCCUGGUAGUCCACGCCGUAAACGAUGAAUGCUAGGUGUAGGGGCGCAAGCCUCUGUGCCGCAGUUAACACAAUAAGCAUUCCACCUGGGGAGUACGACCGCAAGGUUGAAACUCAAAGGAAUUGACGGGAGCCCGCACAAGCAGUGGAGUAUGUGGUUUAAUUCGACGCAACGCGAAGAACCUUACCAGAGCUUGACAUCCAAGGAAUCUGGCGUAAUGGCUGGAGUGCCCUUCGGGGAGCCUUGAGACAGGUGGUGCAUGGUUGUCGUCAGCUCGUGUCGUGAGAUGUUGGGUUAAGUCCCGCAACGAGCGCAACCCUUACGGUCAGUUGCUACGCAAGAGCACUCUGGCUGGACUGCCGUUGACAAAACGGAGGAAGGUGGGGACGACGUCAAAUCAUCAUGCCCCUUACGCCCUGGGCAACACACGUACUACAAUGGCGCAAACAAAGAGAAGCGAAGCCGCGAGGCAGAGCAAAACUCAUAAAAGGCGCCUCAGUUCAGAUUGCAGGCUGCAACUCGCCUGCAUGAAGUCGGAAUUGCUAGUAAUCGCGAAUCAGCAUGUCGCGGUGAAUACGUUCCCGGGCUUUGUACACACCGCCCGUCAAACCAUGAAAGUUGGGAACACCCGAAGCCUGUGAGCUAACCUUAGGGAGGCAGCAGUCGAAGGUGGGUUCAAUGAUUGGGGUU
rnacentral:rRNA from 1 species